GAUGAAGAACGUAGCGAAAUGCGAUAAGUAAUGCGAAUUGCAGAAUCCGUGAGUCAUCGAAUCUUUGAACGCACAUUGCGCCCUCUGGUAUUCCGGAGGGCAUGCCUGUUCGAGCGUCAUUAUCACCCCUCAAGCCCGGCUUGUUGUUGGAUGCAGCGCUUAUCCCGCUCCUCCCAAAGAUAAUGACGGCGUCUGCGACGACUCCUGUACACUGAGCUUUCGGGCACGUACACGGCUAGAAGUCCAGACCCGGUCGCCGUCCCCCCCGCGGGGACACCCAUUACCACAAGGUUGACCUCGGAUCAGGUAGGAAUGCCCGCUGAACUUAAGCAUAUCAAUAAGCGGAGGA
rnacentral:misc_RNA from 1 species